CCCUUAGAUGUUCUGGGCCGCACGCGCGCUACACUGAUGCAUUCAACGAGUUUCUUCCUGGUCCGAGAGGAAUGGGUAACCUUUUGAAAGUGCAUCGUGAUAGGGAUAGACUAUUGCAAUUAUUGGUCUUCAACGAGGAAUUCCUAGUAGACGUAGUUCAUCAGACUGCAUCGAUUACGUCCCUGCCCUUUGUACACACCGCCCGUCGCUCCUACCGAUUGAAUGCUCAGGUGAGCCAUUCGGACUUUCAUCAUGCUGGUUUCCAGUUUUGAUGAAGGAUAGUCUUGCGAACCUUAUCAUUUAGAGGAAGGAGAAGUCGUAACA
rnacentral:rRNA from 1 species